GGAGUGGGCAGAGACGAUCGCUCGGGCCUUGCGGCUCGGGAGGAAAGUCCGAACUGGAUAGGGUGCGGUGGUUGAUAACGCCAACCCGGCGCGAGCCGAGGGAAAGUGCCACAGAAAAUACACCGCCCAAGUCGACGCACGGUGGAGUCAUCUGCAGUCGUCGACCGGUAAGGGUGAAAAGGUGCGGUAAGAGCGCACCGCGCGAUCGGUGACGAUCGUGGCAGGGUAAACCCCACCGCCAGCAAGCCCGCAUAGGCAGCAAGAGGCGGCCCGUCUCGUUUCCACAGUUUAUGUGGAUGAAGCUGUGGGUAGGGUGCUCGAGCCGACGGGCGACCGUCGGCCCAGACAAAUGAUCGUCCAUCGCCGUGGGACCGAUCCUCGGGUCGGUCCUCGGCGAUGAACAGAAUUCGGCUUACCCGCCCACUCCGCCU
rnacentral:RNase_P_RNA from 1 species